rnacentral:rRNA from 1 species
AUGAGCUAUCUAAGUGAUUUACUAUUGACUUUCAAGCCAGCAAGCAGAACACUACAGACGGCUCAGCCUAGACGGACUACCUGGUUACCACCACAAGAAGCCCAUGACAAACUUAACGUUGACGCGGCGGUCCCCAGGGCAGGAGGCUACGACGCCGUGGGAGCGAUCUGCAGGGAUCUUUCAGGCGUUUUUCAGGGUGCAUCAGCCGUCGUUUUCAGAAACAUUGACCAGCCCGAAGUGUUGGAAAGUUUAGCAAUACGAGAAGCACUAGCCUUAGCAGAUGAUCUCUACGUUCAAAAAAUCCGCGUCGCCUCCGAUUGCAAGUCACCUGUUGAAGAUAUACAUCGAGGAACAUCGUCGGCUUAUGGAGCAGUGGUGCAGAUCAAGGAGCACUCUAGUAAUUUUAUUUCUUGUUUUAUUAGUCAUGAGUUUAGAACCUCGAAUGUCGGGGCCCACAAACUAGCAAAGCAUGCCUUAACUCUUGGCACCGGUCGCCAUGUCUGGUUAGGCCACCCUGGAGAUCUUUCCUUUGUCCCUGUAAAUGUGACGUUUUAA